UACGAAGGGGGCUAGCGUUGUUCGGAUUUACUGGGCGUAAAGCGCACGUAGGCGGAUCGAUCAGUCAGGGGUGAAAUCCCAGAGCUCAACUCUGGAACUGCCUUUGAUACUGUCGAUCUGGAGUAUGGAAGAGGUGAGUGGAAUUCCGAGUGUAGAGGUGAAAUUCGUAGAUAUCUGGAGGAACACCGGUGGCGAAGGCGGCAUCCUGGACCAAUAUUGACGCUGAGGAGCGAAAGCCAGGGGAGCAAACGGG
rnacentral:rRNA from 1 species